UACGUAGGGGGCAAGCGUUGUCCGGAUUUAUUGGGCGUAAAGAGCGUGUAGGCGGCCAGGUAGGUCCGUUGUGAAAACUCGAGGCUCAACCUCGAGCUGUCGAUGGAAACCAUCUGGCUAGAGUCCGGAAGAGGAGAGUGGAAUUCCCGGUGUAGCGGUGAAAUGCGCAGAUAUCGGGAAGAACACCCGUGGCGAAGGCGGCUCUCUGGGACGGUACUGACGCUGAGACGCGAAAGCGUGGGGAGCAAACAGG
rnacentral:rRNA from 1 species